rnacentral:rRNA from 1 species
AUGGCGAGUUUGAUCCUGGCUCAGGACGAACGCUGGCGGCGUGCCUAACACAUGCAAGUCGAACGCCCUUCCCUCGUGGAAGGGAGUGGCGGACGGGUGAGUAACACGUGGGUACCUACCCUGAAGUGAGGAAUACCGGCGAGAAAUCGCCGACAAUACCGCAUACGCUCCUUCGGGAGCAAAGCUCGCAAGGGCGCUUUGGGAUGGGCCUGCGGCCGAUUAGCUAGCUGGUGAGGUAAGAGCUUACCAGGGCGACGAUCGGUAGCUGGUCUGAGAGGACGAUCAGCCACACUGGGAUUGAGAACGGCCCAGACUCCUACGGGGGGCAGCAGUGAGGAAUUUUCGGCAAUGGGGGCAACCCUGACCGAGCAACGCCGCGUGCAGGAAGACGGCCUUCGGGUUGUAAACUGCUUUUCUGUGGGACGAGCAAGGACGGUACCACAGGAAGAAGCCCCGGCUAACUACGUGCCAGCAGCCGCGGUAAUACGUAGGGGGCGAGCGUUGUCCGGAGUUACUGGGCGUAAAGCGCAUGCAGGCGGUCGGGUAAGUUUGCACUGACAGUCAUCGGCUUAACUGAUGAAGGCGUGCGAAAACUGUCCGACUUGAGGGCUCUAGAGGGGUGCGGAAUUCCGAGUGGAGCGGUGAAAUGCGUAGAGAUUCGGAGGAACACCGAAGGCGAAGGCAGCGCCCUGGAGAGUACCUGACGCUCAGAUGCGAAAGCUAGGGGAGCGAACGGGAUUAGAUACCCCGGUAGUCCUAGCCGUAAACGAUGACCACUAGAUGUCCGGAGUAUCGACCCUUCGGGUAUCGGAGCUAACGCGUUAAGUGGUCCGCCUGGGGAGUACGGUCGCAAGAUUAAAACUCAAAGGAAUUGACGGGGACCCGCACAAGCAGCGGAGCGUGUGGUUUAAUUCGAUGCAACGCGAAGAACCUUACCAGGUCUUGACAUCACACUGACAACCCUAGAGAUGGGGUCUUCCUUCGGGACAGUGUGACAGGUGCUGCAUGGCUGUCGUCAGCUCGUGUCGUGAGAUGUUGGGUUAAGUCCCGCAACGAGCGCAACCCUCGUCGCUAGUUGAAUGUUCUAGCGAGACCGCCGUUACAAAGCGGAGGAAGGUGGGGAUGACGUCAAGUCAGCACGGCCCUUACGACCUGGGCGACACACACGCUACAAUGGCCGGGACAAAGGGCAGCCAACCCGCGAGGGGGAGCCAAUCCCAUCAAACCCGGUCUCAGUUCAGAUUGCAGGCUGCAACCCGCCUGCAUGAAGUCGGAGUUGCUAGUAACCGUAGGUCAGCACACUACGGUGAAUACGUUCCCGGGUCUUGUACACACCGCCCGUCACACCACGAAAGUCGGCAACACCUGAAGCCGCUGGGCUAACCUCAUUGAGGGGGCAGGCGUCGAGGGUGGGGUCGGUGAUUGGGGUGAAGUCGUAACAAGGUAGCCGUACCGGAAGGUGCGGCUGGAUCACCUCCUUU